rnacentral:rRNA from 1 species
CCUACGGGUGGCAGCAGUGAGGAAUAUUGGCCAAUGGACGAGAGUCUGAACCAGCCAAGUAGCGUGAAGGAUGACUGCCCUAUGGGUUGUAAACUUCUUUUAUAAAGGAAUAAAACGAGGCACGUGUGCCUUUUUGCAUGUACUUUAUGAAUAAGGAUCGGCUAACUCCGUGCCAGCAGCCGCGGUAAUACGGAGGAUCCGAGCGUUAUCCGGAUUUAUUGGGUUUAAAGGGAGCGUAGAUGGGUUGUUAAGUCAGUUGUGAAAGUUUGCGGCUCAACCGUAAAAUUGCAAUUGAUACUGGAAGUCUUGAGUACAGUUGAGGUAAGCGGAAUUCGUGGUGUAGCGGUGAAAUGCUUAGAUAUCACGAAGAACCCAGAUUGCGAAGGCAGCUUACUAAACUGUGACUGACAUUGAUGCUCGAAAGUGUGGGUAUCAAACAGGAUUAGAUACCCGGGUAGUC